rnacentral:lncRNA from 1 species
UUACCAUUGCGAUAAUGAUAACUUCUUUUAACUUCAUAAUAUUAUUAUCGACUGUCUCUGGCGCAAGUGGUAAAUGGCUUGAUAAUUGGUAUCCCAAGUUUCAAAUUCGAAUCCUAAUUAAUUCAUAUUUUCAGCUAAGUAGCAUGCUAUCUAUCUCUAAAAAAAAACUUCAUGAUAUUGUUUUUCAAAGAAACAACUAUCGCAAAAGCUAUGUCAAAUAGGCACUUCAGUAAACAUUUUGAUCAAAUAGCAACAAAUAAGAUUUUGAAAACUUGAAAUAAGAUUUUACCCGAAAAGUAAUAGUUCUAAUUUAAAACUUCCAUCUUUAAUU